CGACGAUGUGUCAGUCAGGUCAAUGUUCGCCCUCAGGGCAGGACGGUUUGGGUUUUUAGUUGUGAUGUUUGAGGGGGCUUAUUUUUUGUCGUGACACUUUUUAAAGGAGUUGAUAGCAUUCUAGAAGUUUCAAGUCUUGUACUGAUAUCUUGAAAGCCUGACUGAACUAAGUGCUCAUUCGUUAUACCAUAUUGAGCAACAUCAUUGAAGACAUUGAAGCACACCUGUAAAUGUUAGAACUAACGUUAGCAAAUAAAAUCAGCCACUUUGAGGAAACAGAAAAAGGAACUCGUAAAGAUUUGGAACCACUUACGACACGUAAAUGGACAUCAGUUUUUCACAGGGCAUAGUCUCUCACACGGCAUCACAAAUCUUACUGAUAUCACAAGGGUCCCACAGACAUCACUACUCUCUCACAACCAUCAAGAGUCUCUCACAGACUACUCUUUCACAGAUGCCACAAGUCUCUGUGGUGUGGAUGACAGGCAUAACAAAAUGAGUGAUGAACUCAGAGAAAGAACUACAUUUUGCUGAAGGAGCUUCUGAUGAACAUUUGUAAUACUGUAACUUUUUUGU